GGAUGGUGGAUUUGCACAGCGUGUAGACGGUAAUGGAUGGAUGGCGGAUUUGCACAGCGUGUGGUCCCCAGGGGAGACAGCAGUCUUGUGACUAAGAGGAUGGGAGCCUCACAGGGCAGCACAGCUCUCUCAGCUCCUGGAGCGUUUCCGCCUGAAAAUAGGCAGCGACUGUGGUUUAUAAACGCCCAGAAGGCAGCGUUUCAGCCAUCUCCUCUGUUAUUGUGUGAGGAACCAGGCAGAGAUUUGUAAUGACACGAGGACGGGAAGCGAGUCGAUGGGUCAGGCCUCCUCCCGGGUGCAGAGCACAAGUGUGGGGCCCUUCUUCCCAUAAAAGUGGGGAGGUGCCUGCAUCGGCCUGAAUUUAUCAUUCUGUUCAUUUCCCAGAAGCAUUCAUUAACAUUAAGCCCUGAGAUCGACAGUUAAUAAUCACUCUAAAUAAUUCAGAUAUAAUAAAUUACAAGCUGUGACUGUGACCUUAGGUAAAUAUUAAAACAAACAGCAACAAUAACAACCACCACCCAAGGACUGUGCUGUUGCUAGUGAGCCUAGGAAACUGUUUGUCUUUCUCAGGAGAGUCCAUUUAUCUGAGGGAUAGAAUUCAAAUGAACUUCAAAAGCAUCCAGAGCGUUUGUAAAAGCACGAUUGAGCCGGGAGCAGUGGCUCACGCCUGUCAUCCCAGCACUUUGUGAGGCCGAGGCAGGCGGAUCACGCGGUCAGGAGAUCGAGACCACCUUGGCUAACACGGUGAAACCCCGUCUCUACUACAAAUACAAAAAAUUAGCCGGGCGUAGUGGCGGGCGCCUGUAGUCCCAGCUACUUGGGAGUCUGAGGCAGGAGAAUGGCGUGAACCCGGGAGGCGGAGCUUGCAGUGAGCCGAGAUCGCGCCACUGCACUCCAGUCUGGGCGACAGAGCGAGACUCCAUCUCAAAAAAAAAAAAAAAAAAGCACGAUUGAAAACCAGCGGCUAUAAUCCCUACAACGGUGUUAACAUUUACGUUGGCUGGGGGCCCUGCUUCUUCAGGGCCGUGAGGCCAUGCUGACAGCAAGGAAGGCAAACUCGGGAAGCCAGUCCCCCCAGAGUGGAGCCUCCACCCACAACACUCCUCAACAGCGGCCUGGGAGGAUCCGCACGCCCCUCUGGAUGCACACCGACCUCACCAGUCACAUGGACCUUGCCAAUCACACCAGUCACGCCAACUCCCUACAGACACCUCUGCCUGGCUUGCAUCUCGUAAGAGCUAAAUCAAGAGCAAGAUCUCAACGGUGCCUAAAGACUGGCAGUGCCCACUCAAGAGAAACCUCUGUAAGGAUGGCCACCUGAUUCCAGCCAGAGAAUGAAUGCCCUCCUGGACAGGCCUCAACCUGGGAAGAUGCAACACUGGGAAGAUUCAACUCCUGGACCCGGACCAGACGGCUGAGUCUUCACUGUGAUCCAGGAGUCCAAGUGCAUCCCUGCCUCCAGCCACAGAGCUGAUGACGGGGUGUUCUGCAGGAAGUGUAGCCAACACGCAGGAUGCUUCUCUUGACGCUGUCUUUGGGCUGAAGGUGACAACCUACAUUUUUUUUUGUCUUAUGUACAAAUGCCAGAAACUCUUCCAGUAAAGCUGCCAUACUAGACAGGUGCGAUUGGAACUAUCAUUUGGUGGAGUUUACAGCAGCCCACUGUCAUCUGCAAUAAUCCACCUGGUCCUGAGAGGGGCUGGGCCAGUGACUAAACUGGGGGUGAGAUGGGGACCUCCCUUGCUCAGAGCUCUCACGGGCAGGUGCAGGUGCACGACGCCAGACUGCUUUUGUUUGUUUGUUCCCUAUUUUCAUCCUCCCCAAGAGCUGCUCAGUGGACCACGCUCUGUGGGGUCUGCCAUCUCCCUGAACAUUCACCCGCCCCUAGGCCGAGAACCACGGACUUUUCCUGAUUCCUUGCAGGAGUCUCAGAAUCGCUGGUGCUGGUGCAGGUGCAGGUGUGGAUUUACACAAGCAACAAAAGCACACCCGUGGGGAAAUCAGGUCAAGAUGAGAAGCACCUUUGAAGCAUUCGAUAGAUAAGCAGUUGAUCACUCCUCAGUGGGAAAUAGUAAAAGCAACCACAGUUCAUCUUAAAGGAGAUGAAAAAGCAUACUUUUUAAAUAUUUCGGCCGUUCAUGGUAUUUCUUUCUGAAAACGGUAACCUUUCUUCUUCUAUGUAGAACAGCAGUGCCCGGCUUACAGUGGCUCUGGAAAGAAGGCCUGUGUACUUGGAGACACCCCAGCCAGUGGGGUGCACUCCAGGCUCUGAGGGCUUCUUUUUCCACCAGUGUGGAGAGCCUGUGGAAUGUCGUCCGCUCACAGACCAGCCUGUGGGGGCAGCCGGCUGGUCCUCAGGAAGGCCAGGGUGCUCAGAACAGAGAUUGCCAUUCCCUGCUGCACUCCUGCCAGCCUCCCUGAGGCGAGGCACAUCCUGACGACAGCCCAUGCGCAUCAGAUGCCUCCUCCAUGGGAGUCACCAAGGGAAAUCCAUUCUUUCCCUGAGACCUCUGUAUGUCUUGCCAAGGCUCCAUGCACAGGUGCGGGGCUGCGUGGAUCAGAGCAGGUGUUCUCUGAAAGAACAGGUGCCAGGGCUUUCUGCUGACUGCAGUGAAACGCCUCCAUGCUUGGAUGUCAGGAGGGCUCCAGCUCAAACCCUGUGAUUCUCCAGUGCAGUGAAAUCCCGGAGGACACAGUGACAGACCUCCCAUGUGACCAGGUCUCCCAUAACGCAUGUCCCUUUUGCAAACCGAGCUAAAGCCACACUACCAGCCUGCUCACACAACAAGCGUUUAUUAUUUCUCACCAUCUUUGGAACCAGUACUUGGUGCCCGGAAGCAGGCUGAUCACAGGGUGGUAACCUCUGGUUGGUGAAGUGACCACAGCAGCUUUGAUUUUCACGCAGCGGGCGCUGUACCAGUCUCACAAUGUGAGGCCCUGUAUUCUGGCUGAUAAUAAGGAGAGUGUUGCUCAGGAGGGAAGCGGAGUCUGAAAGAGCUAGAUAAGAAUUCUGGCUCUUCCAGUCACAGACUUCCUAGCCCUGGGCACACUGAUCCGUCUAAGGAUCAAUCUGCCUCCACUUUUUGGUUGAUUCUUAAACACUCAUUUACCUCCCUGAGUCUAAGUUUCUUUACCCCAAACAUGGGAAGAAGAAAACUCCUCUUUCUUUAGAUCACAAGGUGGUUGUUAGGGUAAAAUAAGAUAAUAUGCACCGAAGUACUUAGGAUAUGUAAAAACUAUGCAAAUAUAAGGUGUUUUUAAAGUAUAUUUUUGUACUGUAAGUAUAACGUAUUGAGAUGCAAGAUAUUUUAAAUAUUAUACAAAAUAAGCAAAGACUAGAAUUGAAUUUCCUGGCACUUUCUCUCUUUUGCUACCUGAUUACAAAUAGCGUUAGUUCAAAAACCAACUUUCCUAAUGAAGAACUAUAUCUGGCAAUUACUUUUAUAACUUUUCCUCUAGAGGAUCAUAAACCUCCACCUUCAGAAAUGCCUAAAACAAAUUCACUCUGUUGCUUCAGACUGAUGUGACGUGUGAUAAGUUAUAAGGCAUUCAAUUUCAAAAUCUCCCUCAUUAAAAUAAUUCAUACCUUAUCCACCCAUGUCUUUAGGUUUUUCCUUCUCUAUGUGCUGAAAGAAAUGGGAGCAGGAAGUAGCAUUUAUUGAAUAUUAUUUGGUGCCAGAUACCCUUCUGUGCAUGUAACUUACAUAUGUGACUACAGGGAUAAGGCUGUUACCUUUAGCCUAAAGGUGCCUCCUUACACAUUUUAAAUUCAGCCUAAAGGUUUCUCCAUACAUAGUGAAGUGUAACCUACCUGGGCACGUCCACAAGCUGUCACCUGCUCUUGUAACAAAUAGCCAAGUCUCACCCAAUUCCAGGAGCCAUCUCUCAACCAC
rnacentral:lncRNA from 10 species